GGCUUUGUUUGCGCAGGAUAGGUGGGAGGCGUUGAAGAUUUUCUUGCGGGGAGAUUGGAGCCGUUGGUGAGAUACCACUCUAACAAUGCUAGGAUUCUAACCCUAUACCGUUAUCCGGUUAGGGGACAGUUUCAGGUGGUCAGUUUGACUGGGGCGGUCGCCUCCCAAAAGGUAACGGAGGCGUGCAAAGGUUUCCUCAGGCUGGUCGGAAAUCAGUCGUAGAGUGUAAAGGCAUAAGGAAGCUUGAUUGUGAGGCCUACAAGUCGAACAAAGACGAAAGUCGGCCUUAGUGAUCCGACGGUUCCGAGUGGAAGGGCCGUCGCUCAACGGAUAAAAGUUACUCUAGGGAUAACAGGCUGA
rnacentral:rRNA from 1 species